rnacentral:rRNA from 1 species
GUACGGGGGAGCAAGCGUUGUUCGGAUUUACUGGGCGUAAAGGGCGCGUAGGCGGUCGUGACAAGUCACUUGUGAAAUCUCCGGGCUUAACUCGGAACGGUCAAGUGAUACUGUCGGGCUCGAGUCCGGAAGAGGUGAGUGGAAUUCCUAGUGUAGAGGUGAAAUUCGUAGAUAUUAGGAAGAACACCAGUGGCGAAGGCGGCUCACUGGCCCGGUACUGACGCUGAGGCGCGAAAGCGUGGGGAGCAAACAGG